UUGACCUCGGAUCAGGUAGGGAUACCCGCUGAACUUAAGCAUAUCAUAG
rnacentral:rRNA from 2 species